rnacentral:rRNA from 1 species
GACGAACGCUGGCGGCGUGCUUAACACAUGCAAGUCGAACGGAAAGGCCCUGCUUUUGUGGGGUGCUCGAGUGGCGAACGGGUGAGUAACACGUGAGUAACCUGCCCUUGGCUUUGGGAUAACUUCAGGAAACUGGGGCUAAUACCGGAUAGGAGCUCCUGCUGCAUGGUGGGGGUUGGAAAGUUUCGGCGGUUGGGGAUGGACUCGCGGCUUAUCAGCUUGUUGGUGGGGUAGUGGCUUACCAAGGCUUUGACGGGUAGCCGGCCUGAGAGGGUGACCGGCCACAUUGGGACUGAGAUACGGCCCAGACUCCUACGGGAGGCAGCAGUGGGGAAUAUUGCACAAUGGGCGGAAGCCUGAUGCAGCAACGCCGCGUGCGGGAUGACGGCCUUCGGGUUGUAAACCGCUUUCGCCUGUGACGAAGCGUGAGUGACGGUAAUGAGUAAAGAAGCACCGGCUAACUACGUG